rnacentral:rRNA from 1 species
UACGGGGGGGGCAAGCGUUGUUCGGAAUCACUGGGCGUAAAGGGCGCGUAGGUGGCGUGAUAAGGGUGUGGUGAAAGCCCGGGGCUCAACCCCGGGUCUGCCAUGCCGACUGUCAGGCUAGAGUACUGUAGGGGCAGGCGGAAUUCCGGGUGUAGCGGUGGAAUGCGUAGAGAUCGGGAAGAACAUCGGUGGCGAAAGCGCUCUGCUGGACUGCAACUGACACUCAGGGACGAAAGCUAGGGGAGCGAAUGGG